UUUUGGACAAUGGGCGCAAGCCUGAUCCAGCCAUGCCGCGUGUGUGAAGAAGGCCUUCGGGUUGUAAAGCACUUUCGGCGGGGACGAAACGGUCCGUGCUAACACCACGGACUAAUGACGGUACCCGCAGAAGAAGCACCGGCUAACUACGUGCCAGCAGCCGCGGUAAUACGUAGGGUGCAGGCGUUAAUCGGAAUUACUGGGCGUAAAGCGUGCGUAGGCGGUUUGUUAAGACAGGUGUGAAAUCCCCGGGCUUAACCUGGGAACUGCGCUUGUUACUGGCAGACUGGAGUGUGGCAGAGGGGGGUGGAAUUCCAGGUGUAGCAGUGAAAUGCGUAGAUAUCUGGAGGAACACCGAUGGCGAAGGCAGCCCCCUGGGCUAACACUGACGCUGAAGCACGAAAGCGUGGGGAGCAAACAGG
rnacentral:rRNA from 1 species